AGUAACAAUCUACUUGUCUCUUGGACUCGGUACAGGCUUUGUGUUUUGCGGUGCGUCUGACAGGCCCUGCCUGCCCUGCAAGCUCUGACUAGUGUGUCAAAGCCAAGUAUGUAUAAGAGCCAUGGCAGAACGCUGGCUGCUUGCCCACAGUGGCUGCAGCCUGAGAGCUUUUCCAUAACAAGAGAGGAGGAGGAGGGAAGGGAAGUGUGGGAGUCAACAACGAUGGUGUGAACUACAGUGUUGUGCUCUCAAAGUCAACUGAUAAGUGGACCUCCAAUCCCAACUGUUCCAAGUGAUGCUUUUCUCAGAGUUUUUCGGAGUUCUCUACCAGCUUCUGUCUGAGGAAGGAGGUACAGUACUGUAUAAGCUGCGGAUUUUAAGUGAUUGGACCAAUAUGUGCAGAAAAAUAUAGUGACAUAAAUAUAAAUAUAUAAAUAUAAUAUAUGAUAUAAAGACCAAGAAAACUGUCAACUGAAGCAACAAAAACUCUACCAUUGACAUUUCUUAGAAAAAUGUCAUCUUUCAGCAUUUACAGGAGACACAGGAUCACAGCAGCACAUAUAAAAAUCUGGUUACAUUAGUGCUGAAUUCAUUGCAUCAAAGCCCAGACUUUAUGUGAUCUCAGAGUGUUUAUCUCCAUUUCAAGUUGUGUGAAACCGACUUCCUUCAGCCCUGCCCUUCCACAGCGACCCAGGGGACAUGCCCACUCAGAGGGCGUGCUUUUUUCCUUGGAUGUUGUUUUACCCUUUGCUGAUUUCCAUCAAACAGUCCCUGAUAGCAGUGAGGCCCCAACCUGACGGAGACUGUGGCUGUAAUUCAGGUGGAAGGGUUAAAAUCCAGUGCCAGUGACUCAAGCAGAAGAGAGACUCUGGGGCCUUGAUAACUUAAUUGUCCAGCCAGGAUAAACACAACAACUGAAUGAUUGACGAUUGAUUAGAUGCAACAAGAGGCCUAAAUAAAAUGCAAGCAUCAAGAACUACAAAGCAGG